rnacentral:rRNA from 1 species
GCAGUGGGGAAUAUUGGACAGUGGGCGGAAGCCUGAUCCAGCGCGUGCCGCGUGUGUGAAGAAGGCCUUUUGGUUGUAAAGCACUUUAAGCGAGGAGGAGGCUACGUAGAUUAAUACUCAGGGAUAGUGCACGUUACCCGCAGAAUAAGCACC